AACGCGAAGAACCUUACCCAGUCUUGACAUGCAGUGGAAUGUACCAGAGAUGGUACAGCCCUUCGGGGCUACUGCACAGGUGCUGCAUGGCUGUCGUCAGCUCGUGCCGUGAGGUGUUUGGUUAAGUCCAGCAACGAGCGCAACCCUUAUCAUUAGUUGCCAACACGUAAAGGUGGGAACUCUAAUGAGACUGCCUGGGUUAACCAGGAGGAAGGUGAGGAUGACGUCAAGUCCGCAUGGCCCUUAUGACUGGGGCUACACACGUGCUACAAUGGUCGGUACAGAAGGCAGCGAAACCGCGAGGUGAAGCAAAUCCCCAAAGCCGGCCUCAGUUCAGAUUGUAGUCUGCAACUCGACUACAUGAAGUUGGAAUUGCUAGUAAUGGCGUAUCAGCAACAGCGCCGUGAAUACGUUCCCGGGCCUUGUACACACCGAGUAUA
rnacentral:rRNA from 1 species